AUUGAACGCUGGCGGCAGGCCUAACACAUGCAAGUCGAGCGGAUGAAGGGAGCUUGCUCCUGGAUUCAGCGGCGGACGGGUGAGUAAUGCCUAGGAAUCUGCUUGGUAGUGGGGGAUAACGUCCGGAAACGGGCGCUAAUACCGCAUACGUCGUGAGGGAGAAAGUGGGGGAUCUUCGGACCUCACGCUAUCAGAUGAGCCUAGGUCGGAUUAGCUAGUUGGUGGGGUAAAGGCCGACCAAGGCGAGGAUCCGUAAGUGGUCUGAGAGGGUGAUCAGUCACACUGGAACUGAGACACGGUCCAGACGCCUACGGGAGGCAGCAGUGGGGAAUAUUGGACAAAGGGCGAAAGCCUGAUCCAGCCAUGCCGCGUGUGUGAAGAAGGUCUUCGGAUUGUAAAGCACUUUAAGUUGGGAGGAAGGGCAGUAAGUUAAUACCUUGCUGUUUUGACGUUACCAACAGAAUAAGCACCGGCUAACUUCGUG
rnacentral:rRNA from 1 species